rnacentral:rRNA from 1 species
AUUGAACGCUGGCGGCAGGCUUAACACAUGCAAGUCGAGCGGUAGCACAGGGGAGCUUGCUCCCUGGGUGACGAGCGGCGGACGGGUGAGUAAUGUCUGGGAAACUGCCUGAUGGAGGGGGAUAACUACUGGAAACGGUAGCUAAUACCGCAUAACGUCGCAAGACCAAAGAGGGGGACCUUCGGGCCUCUUGCCAUCAGAUGUGCCCAGAUGGGAUUAGCUAGUAGGUGGGGUAAUGGCUCACCUAGGCGACGAUCCCUAGCUGGUCUGAGAGGAUGACCAGCCACACUGGAACUGAGACACGGUCCAGACUCCUACGGGAGGCAGCAGUGGGGAAUAUUGCACAAUGGGCGCAAGCCUGAUGCAGCCAUGCCGCGUGUGUGAAGAAGGCCUUCGGGUUGUAAAGCACUUUCAGCGAGGAGGAAGGUGGUGAGCUUAAUACGUUCAUCAAUUGACGUUACUCGCAGAAGAAGCACCGGCUAACUCCG